GAGUGGGCGGGGGUAGGCGGAGGGGCGUCCAUCGCGGCGCGUGACGAUCCACAACCAGGCCGCCCACCUUCUCUCCCGCCGUCCGCCCACUCGCUGGCGCACGUGGCAUCGUCCGGGCAGCUGCUGGCAUCGUACCCCCCCUCCCCCUCCUCCACCCCCCAACACGUGCUGGCCAACUCACAACACCUGUCGCACCAGGUGUUGAAGGAGAUUCCUGUGCUCGAGCCUCUCGAUGACUCAGCUAUCAAGUAUGAGUCAUCGAGUUAGGGGAAAUAAAGAAAUAGAGAAGAAAAGAGAAGAAGAAGAAUGA